CAGCCGCCGCGGGAAUACGAAGGGGGCUAGCGUUGUUCGGAUCUACUGGGCGUAAAGGGCGCGUAGGCGGACUGAUAAGUCAGGGGUGAAAUCCCAAGGCUCAACCUUGGAACUGCCUUUGAUACUGUUUGUCUUGAGUUCGAGAGAGGUAAGCGGAACUGCGAGUGUAGAGGUGAAAUUCGUAGAUAUUCGCAAGAACACCAGUGGCGAAGGCGGCUUACUGGCUCGAAACUGACGCUGAGGCGCGAAAGCGUGGGGAGCAAACAGGAUUAGAUACCCCUGUAGUCCCUGUCUCUUAUAC
rnacentral:rRNA from 1 species